rnacentral:rRNA from 1 species
AUGCUUUGGAAGAAGCUUGUACAGUUUGGGAAGGGGUUUUUUGAGAGAAAAGAAGAAUCUACUUCAACCGAUAUGCCCUUAGGCACGGCCAUGCAUAACAUAGAAAUCACACGUGGAAGGGGUGGGCAAUUAGCUAGAGCAGCAGGUGCUGUAGCGAAACUCAUUGCAAAAGAGGGUAAAUCGGCCACUUUAAGAUUACCAUCUGGGGAGGUCCGUUUAGUAUCCCAAAACUGCUUAGCAACAGUCGGACAAGUGGGUAAUGUUGGGGUGAACCAAAAAAGUUUGGGUAGAGCCGGAUCUAAGUGUUGGCUAGGUAAACGCCCCGUAGUAAGAGGGGUAGUUAUGAACCCUGUGGACCACCCCCAUGGGGGCGGUGAAGGGAAAGCUCCCAUUGGUAGAAAAAAACCCACAACCCCUUGGGGUUAUCCUGCGCUUGGAAGAAGAACUAGGAAAAGGAAAAAAUAUAGCGAUAGUUUUAUUCUUCGUCGCCGUAAGUAA